GGUUAACCCGCGUGAGGGAUUGAAGCGGUAUCCUUUUUUUGCUGCCAUAAAUGGCAAAAAAAGAUUUAGCGGAAAGCCCGACCCUUG
rnacentral:sRNA from 1 species